rnacentral:tRNA from 1 species
GGGGGUGUGGUGUAGUGGAUAGCAUCAUGGGUUACGAACCCGUGGACUCCGGUUCGAAUCCGGGCACCCUCA